rnacentral:lncRNA from 1 species
UGUCAAGAGUUGGACUUGAUGAUCCUUAAGGGUCCCUUCCAACUCAGGAUAUUCUAUGAUUCUAUGAUUCUAUGAUUCUAUAUUUUUACAGGUUGAUUGUAACCCUUUGUUAAUUAUUACUUCAAUUGAUUUACUAACAUAAACUUAACUAUAGAACUUUCAGUUCAGACUCUGCACGGGUUCUCAGUUGUGGUAGAAUACAUAAUACGCAAGAAAAUAGUUAUGAAUAUAAGGAGAUCAUGUCACAUUCUGGCACUGGUUGCCUAAACCAUUCUUCAAGAAACCCUCCUAAGUUCCCAUAUAGUACUCUGAAUUUUCUUUCCAACAUAGUUAAUUGCCAGAAUAUUUAUGCAUGAAUUAAAUUUUAUUGCCUCAUAAUGCUUGACUGAUUUAUGUAGAGAUGUCUGUGAAAAGAUGAGUGAACCUUUAAAGGUUUUAGGGGUUUAGUCUGCUGCAGAGAAAAAUCCUUCACUUUUGAUCUCACUAUUGGUUAGGAUUUCAUCAGAAUGGGAUUUCUCAUCACAUUUUCCCCUGUAUUUCCUAGUAAUAAACCCGGCUAAAACAACAAGCUGGCUCUCAGUCAAGAUUUACAGAGGUUUCUCAGAAGUGUUAUGGUUGUCGUUCUGGGAUAGUGGAAUUUCCUUAGCUCAUAAAAGCAAGUUCUAGGGCAGUGACAGCUUGUUUCAAUAUGUCCAUAAUGCUGUUUUUCCCUCUGAGGGGUGCAGUGGAGUAAUUUUAAUCCUAGAUAAGCAAAAUUUAAAAAAGCAGUUGAAGAAAGUGAUUGUAUCCUUAUUUUCCAUGUUGACCCAUCAAGGUCUGAAGUCUCUGAGGAGCUACUAAGCAAUGUGAAUGUCAGAGGCCACUUCCCACUUCCCUUUGCAUUGAGGGGCUGGUCAGUGGGAAGGCACUGAGGAGUCUGUGGGCUGGUGAAGAGGUAGGGCAUUGCAUGGGAUGAUGGCUAGCUGUGGAGGGGAGCCAGGAGCCAUGGGGACUCUUCAUGGGGCAAGCAGUACAGGACCUGGCAGCCAGGGCUCAUCCUACCCCCAGCCACGAGCUGGGCAGCAUGAGCAUUCUCCUCUGAAAACUAUUUCAGGAGAAAAACUCAUUUUUUUCAUCUGUUGGCCUGGAUACUGAUUAUCAUUUCCAGAUUCUAU